GAUGAACGCUGGCGGCGUGCCUAAUACAUGCAAGUCGAGCGAACAGACGACUUUCUUGCUCCUCUGACGUUAGCGGCGUACGUGUGAGUAACACGUGGUUCCCCUACCUAUAAGACUGGUAUAACUUCGUGAAACCGGAGCUAAUACCGGAUCCUAUCUUGAUCCGCAUGGUUCAAUAGUUAAAGACGGUUUUGCUGUCACUUCUAGUUGUCUCCGCGCCGCAUUAGCUAGUUGUUAAGGUAACGGCUUACCCAGGCAACAAUGCGUAGCCGACCUGAGAGGGUGAACGGCGACACAGGAAGUGAGACACGGUCCAGACUCCGACGGGAGGCAGAAAUAGGGAAGCGUGGGAAAUGGGCGAAAGACUGAAGGAGCAACGGAGCGUGAGUGAUGAAGGGCUGCGGAUCGGAAAACUCUGUUAUGAGGGAAGAACAAAUGUGGAAGGAACUAUGCACGUGGUGACGGUACCUAAAGAGAAAGCAACGGCUAACUACGUG
rnacentral:rRNA from 1 species